ensembl:lncRNA
GAUUCGCUCAGUGACUCUUUCUGGGGAUUACAUUUGUAUGCCGGCCUCUGGCCCCCUGCAGGGCCCGCGGACUCAAAGGGUCCCUCUUUACCUGGAUUUAUGAUGAGGAACCCCAAACAGCAUGCAGGAGGUUUCAGAAGCAGUAGUCCUGCGGCCGGCGGAGGCUCCAGCAGGGCAGUAAGUGAACCCAGCAGUGCCACUGUUGUUUCCUGCCACCCCUCCAGCCCCCUUCAUCUCUCUCCACCGGGUAGCACACACAGGAAAUGUCUUUUCUGUUCCUUGUAAAGGAAAGGCUUCUUAUGACCUUGCUGUUACCAAGGUAACACAUCUGCCAUGCAUUUUCACAUAGUUCGGCAUCCCAUUUAAAAGCAUCUUUUGGGGUUCCUAAAAUCAUUUUGAAUAGUUUGUGAUGAGACUCGGCCAGUAUUAGUCAUACCCACUAAAUGCAUUCUGCAAUCGACUAUGGCUCUUUCAUACACACACCAUGGCUCUUCAACAAAGAUAUUUUCCUUUCCGUGAGAAGCUAAACGUCAGCGUUACACUCAGAUUGCGUUUCGUGUUUGUUAAACAUUUGGACCCUGUUCCCUCUCCAUAUGAUGUGAGUCUCUCUAUAGAAGGCUAAAGGAAACCAGGUGUGGACAAGCUGAACUCCAGAGGUCAGGAGUGGAAACAUGCAACACAAACUUUUAUGCACUGUUUUUACUCACGGUCUUCUAAGGAUUGCUAAUCAAAUGCAGCAUGCUGAAGCGGUUUAUAACACUUCGGAGAACCAGCAAUGCAACACAUCUGCUCCCAACAAACAAACAAACAGAAACCUUUGUGGAAGAUAAAUCCUUUGUGGAAAAGCUCUCGUUGUCAAGACAGGCGGACGGGAGUGUGAUUUGAGGAAAGAGAGGGAGAGAGAGAGAGGAAGAGCCAGACAGAGAUGUCGUCUGCUGGAGAGGCCAUUUGCUUAAUCCUCUCAUAAUUCCUAGAUUUCUGCAAGGCCGUUCUGGUUGUAUUGCAGAACAAAUGGGGAAUAGCUUUCUGGGAAGGUCUUACUAUUUUUAAAACAAUCAGAAUGUGUUUGUGUACACUAUAUACAGCUGAGUGCACACAUUUGCAUUCCACUUUUAUCUACAAAAAUUUAUUCUUGCAAAAUUUAUUAAAAGAAGUAUGAGAAAAAAAU